GAUGAACGCUGGCGGCGUGCCUAAUACAUGCAAGUCGAGCGAACGGACGAGAAGCUUGCUUUUCUGAUGUUAGCGGCGGACGGGUGAGUAACACGUGGAUAACCUACCUAUAAGACUGGGAUAACUUCGGGAAACCGGAGCUCAUACCGGAUAAUAUUUUGAACCGCAUGGUUCAAAAGUGAAAGACGGUCUUGCUGUCACUUAUAGAUGGAUCCGCGCUGCAUUAGCUAGUUGGUAAGGUAACGGCUUACCAAGGCAACGAUGCAUAGCCGACCUGAGAGGGUGAUCGGCCACACUGGAACUGAGACACAGUACAGACUCCUACGGGAGGCAGCAGUAGGGAAUCUUCCGCAAUGGGCGAAAGCCUGACGGAGCAACGCCGCGUGAGUGAUGAAGGUCUUCGGAUCGUAAAACUCUGUUAUUAGGGAAGAACAUAUGUGUAAGUAACUGUGCACAUCUUGACGGUACCUAAUCAGAAAGCCACGGCUAACUACGUG
rnacentral:rRNA from 1 species